rnacentral:lncRNA from 1 species
AGAAAUAAAAUAGGUUUCAAAGGGUAACAGUAUCACAACCGAGAAAAACAAUACACUGCAACUCACAUUUAAGGCGUCCAUUGCUGCCAUUGCUGCGUGAUGAGUGAAGAAUGUUGCAAAGGCAAUAACCUGUGGUAUUAAAAAAAAUAAUAAUAAAGAGUAGUUAUAAUUUCUACCAAAAUUGUCAUUUGAAGUAAAGAGCAGCUCUUUCCUUCCAGAAACAAUCCAACUUGGAAGCCAUCAAGAACUCAAAUAACUUUUCCACCUACAAGCCAACAAUUAAGGCAGAGUGUUGGCCUCCAGAAAAAAUAAACUUUUGUACUCAUGAUGCAGAAGCAACGCAUUUGGCUAUCACAAGGCCUGAAUUCAUUGUAGAAAUUUCAAACGAAUCUCAAAUUGAGACCAGAAAAAUCCAAUUUGAAACUUCUACUUCUGCUUGAAAAGAAAAUAUUGGGGCUCCUCCAAACAAAACCCUGCUGCUGCUUCUUCUAACUGUUCGCAAAAGCUAUUGCCAGAUUUCAAUGGAAAUAUCUUUUAGGGUUUCUUCAAACAGCUCUAGACAAACACAUCUCCGCAACUGCUACUUAACAAAACUCCACACGGGCCAAAACGUGCAACGAAAGAUAGUUAAAGAUUUAUGAAGACCCCCUCAACUAUUGGCCGCUUUGAAGCAAACACCUAAUCUUUCUUCUUUUGUAAUUAACAUCUUUCUGUUGUCUACCGAAAGAAAAUUCUCUAUAGAACCUACAGAUUCAAUAGUUAAUAUGUCAGCAGUGCCAUUAACUUAAUCACCAAAAAACUUGACAAAAUUUCUAUUUAUCUCAUAAAAAUAACUUAAAUUAAAAUAACGAAAAUUGAGGGAUGCCGACAAAAAUAAAUUUAAUGGCCUAUUUAAAGAUGUAUGGAGACCUUCUCCACUAAAGUCCAUUUCGAAGUAGGCAACUUUAGUGUUUCUUUUUUUUUUUUCAUUGACGCCCCCAUUAACUUUAGAUUUUUUAUGAAUUUAACAGUUUGAACCAAUUAUAUUGGAAUUUUUAAAAAUUUGAAGGUGAUUCUGUCGAAUUUGGUAACUUUAAUCACUAACUAGAAAAUAAAACUGACAUAGUUAACAGCUAACAGCUAACAGAGCCAUUAAUUUUGACAAAUUCUUAACUUAACUAACUAAAAUAAGUCAGAAAAAAAAAUAAGCUAGGGAAAAUUGAAAUUGAGGGUCUUGCUUCAAAAAUAGCCUAUAAUUUGCAGGUCUCGGUACUUUUAACCGAUCUUAAACAAGAAAAAAACUAGAGAGAAACUAACACAUUCGGAGGACCAAAUCUGAGAACCCUAACCCUAACCUGGUUCCCACGGCCGGUGUACUCGAGCUGGCACGAGUCGAAGCCGCGGCGGCGACGGAAGAGGUUGUGGAUCUCGCGGGGCUUCACGUCGUCGGGGAGCCCCGCGACGAAGAGGGUGCUGAUCCUCUGCAUCUCGGGGUCGGCGUGGACCAUCGGCGGCGGCUGCGCCGGCGCCGCCGCGUGGUGGGGGCGGAGGUGGGGGUAGUAGGGUUGGGUGAAGGAUGGGGACUCGACGGCGACGGCGGAGGGUGCCGCCGCCGCCGCCGCCGCCGCCGCCGGAGAAGAGAGGGAGGAAUAGGGCGGAGGGAGAGGCGCGAGCGAGGGUUUCAUGGUGACUUGCGUCGGAGUGUGCGCAUAACGCAGCGAGUUUAAAAGGAGAAGGUAAAACUGCACGGAGACUCCUCCACUAUCAACUUCGUUGAAAUAAAUCCCUCAACUUUAACUAUUAUUAAUUGAUAGGCAAACUGAAACUUUUCUACUUAUUAGUUAAAAAAUUUACAACAUUCAGUGGUUUUGUUAAUAGUGUUAUCGGUUUUUGCUUGUUACCACUUGCUUACAAUCACUUUAUUCUUAAAAAAAAAAAAAAAUGAAAUAAAGGGUCCCAAUCAAAAAGCUGAAAAGUGAGGGAGGCGUUUCGGAAUUUUCUAUAGCUGAGGGGCCUCCCUACAUUAUUACCAAAUUAGAAAGAGAAAGACCAUGUUCAGUUGGGUCAUGUUGGGUAAGGGUUGAAUUGAACCAAUAUCAAAAAUUACAAAAUGGACUAAUGGAGUCCCUAUUUCUCUUACCAAUUGGGCUUAUUAGCCUCUUAUGGGUUAUGGGUAGUCCAAAUCAGUUGGGUCCGGGUCCGGAUUAAUCCGAAUCUGUAGUGUAAACGAAUUCUGUUUGUUUAUUAAUAAACAAGUCAGUAUGACAAUCCCUAAAAUAUUGACUUAUAGAGUUGUGCUAGAAUACUAUCGGUAGUAAACGAGCCGUUUUACUAACGAUUUGUUUUCGAUGAUAGAACUUCCAAAUUGACGAUCGGCUCCGUUUAACAUGAUCUAUAGCACUUGAAGUGUUUAAAAAUCAAAUUUCAAAUCUUUUCGACAUAAUUUGCCUAAUGAUCAAAGGGUUUCAAAAUUUGUAAUUUUAAUGGUCGAUAAGAAACGUUUUCUCGUUUAAUGGCGUAAAGAUAUCCAAAUCAAUUGAAUUUUUGUUAUAAAAUUCUUUAAACUAUUUAAAAUAAGAUCUAUACUCUUGAUCUUGAUUAUAAGACUCCUAUCAUCAUUUUUUAAAGAGUAUUCAUUUUCAGCCAUUCAUUUUUCUGUUCACUUGAUGGAUGAAAGAACAAUAUCGAAAGUGCGUGAAAUUUGAUUUCUAAGUAGUUUAAAUGGUUUAGAUCAUAUUUAAUGAAGCCAAUCGUCAAUUUGGAAGCUCUAUCAUCGAAAACAAAUCGAUAGUAAAACGGCUCGUUUACUACCGAUAGUAUUCUAGCUCAACUCUUGACUUAUAUAUAUCUAUGCAGUUUUAUCUCGGAAAAGUCCAUCCUUUUGAUGUAAAAUGACCAUUCGCCCCUUCCCUAGUAGAGACAUCAACUGGACGGAUUUUCAAAUAUUCGAAUCCAAAUCUGACUCCAAACCUGAUGAAAUUUAAAAAUUCAUAUCCAAACCUGAAACAAUUAAUUUUUUUUCAAUAUUUCAAAACAUAUUACAUUAAAUCUAAAUUUUUAAAAUACAAAUUCAAAUAUAACAUCAAAUAUAUAUAUAUAUAUAUAUAUAUAUAUAUAUAUAUAUAUAUANCUCUUUUUCUUAUCAAUUUUAUUAUUUUUUUUUCUUAAAUCAAUAAUAAAGUUAAAAUUAAAGGGUACUAAAGUGAAUAUUUGAUAAAUCUAGAUGGAUAUCUAAAGUUUUUUGUAUAUAAUUUAACGAAAUAUUAACGAAAAAGCUACCGAAAAGAUAAAAACGAAACCACAGGGGGGCAAAUUGAUACACUUUAAACCACAGGGGGGCAAAGUGAGAAACUACGAAACCACAUAGGGGCUUUUUGAAGUUUUCCCAUUAUUAUAUAUAAUGCAAAAUAAAUUCGAAUUCGGGUUGGUUUCAGAUUCAGGUUGUGUACAGUCAAAAUUCAUAUCCGAACUCAUAUCCAUUGAAUUUUUAUUUUUAAUAUCCAUAUUCAAAGACAUAUCCAUUUCACAUUAGAUAUAUUCUCUCUAUUUGAUCAGAUAAAAUUUCGGAUAUCUGUACCAAUCGACAUCCCUAUUUCCUAGAAGGAUGCAUUUAUUAGAAAAGUUAUUUCGUAGAAUUUAAUCAUGACAAGUUGGGGGAAAAUUGCAAAAUUUAAUUAGCUACUGUUGUGUUGUUCAAAAAGUUGGAUAAUAAGUUAAAUUCAAAUCUGUAAUUAGCAUUUAUAACAUGCUGAGGAAAAUUAGGCUUCACUGUGUGCUCUGCUGCGCUCUAAUUUUCAGCAAACUCAAAAGGAAAAGAGAUUUUGGAGAAUGGCUCAUAAUAAUAUUAAAUUCAAAUUGCAACAUCUGCACAUCAGAUGUAGGCUUUACAUAGAUGAGGAAGACACCUCCAUACAUACAUGACUAUUAUUCAUGUAAUAAUUUGGACAUAACUAAAGAAAAUGAUAGAUAAUGGUAGCAAUUUCCUCCCAUCAACUGCUCCAAAAUGGCCAAACAAAUGAAUCAUCAUUUGGAUUUUGGAGAGAUUCACCAUCUCAACUUCGCAGGGAAAUACUGCAAAAAAAAGAAAAAGAAAAAGAAAAUCGAUCACAAUUAGAUAAAAAUUUAGAAAAAAAGCUAAAGUCAAAAGGAAAUUUUUAUUUGGAGAAAACCAUACCUUCUCAAUAAGUGAGAGGUAGUAUGGCUUCACCUUCUCCACAUCAAUCCUCACUUUGCUCUUGCUGUAUAAAUCAUACUUGCUGCAGAUAGGUUCGGAGGGAAAAAAAAAGUUAUGGUUAUCUAAGAACUGAUAUCAUGUUUGUUUCUAGUAAGGAAAAAUAUUAUUUGAAUGAAGUUUUUAUUAUUGAAGAAACGCUAGAUUCUUCAUUUUUCGGUCAAAUUAGAGAUUCUAUUUUUGCAGCCCAAAUUCUUUUCGUCAGAAACAAGAGUAGAACUUGUUUUUUUAUCCUUGGGCACGCAAGGGACACUUUGAUAGAACAGUAGAGCUGUAGAGAUCUCUUUAUCAAUAAUUAAAAAAAGGAGUACUAUGAGAUCAGCAACAUACUUAAAAACGUGGAGCCACUUCAGAUUCUCCUUGUCCUCCUCAUUCAUUAAGUACUCAUAGGCCCCAUGCUUGUGAAGAGCUGAAACAGUAAAUGAUGCCCAUGUUUUAGUAUAUUUACGAAAUAGAAUUCAAAUUUCUAGUCGAAACUGUUUUUACCAAAGAUGACGAAGGGCAAAACGCUUACGAUAAAAUGAAUGGUAUCGAAUGAUAAACAGUGCAGCUGAAGGGAGAGUGGUCUUGUUCUCCUUAGCCACCUAAAUUUAACCAAUUGACAAAUUCAAUUUUAUUUAGCAAAAAAAGGAAAAUUUUAACUAAUAAUAACUAAACCAAAUGUAGAGGGGGAGAGAGAGUACCAAGUACAUAUAGUCAUCAUGUCCCCAGGACAUUAACACAUUGUCCAGUCCACAUCCUUCAGAAUAAACUCCAAAUUUGGUGUUGUAUUUAGGAUUGUUGUAGUCAGGGUUCUCUUUAAAGUACUGUAUAAAUAAACCCAAAAAGAAUCAGAUAAAAUUCUAUAAAACAGUAAAUAUAUUUUUGUUCAGAUAAAUAAAUAACUUUGACAAAGUACCUUGUGGUGCACAUUGCACUCAUCAAAACCACAUCCAACAGGGAAUGUGUCACCUGAAAUUCAAAUCAGAGAAGUGUUUCAAAAAAUUCUUUUUUUUUUUUUUUUUUUUUUUUUUUGAGGUGGUUAAAUGACCAGAAAAAGAAAGGGCACAAUUUCUUACCCACAACAGCCCACUGGGGAAGCUCCCCAAAGCUUUUGUGCAAAAGAACCUUCCCAAGAUCUAAUAACAAAAGGAAAAUAUUAACAAUAAAUAAAUCCCAUGAAAAGUACAAGCACUAAUUGAAUUGUGCAUUUGUCAAUUUUGACAAUUUUAUCUCUAAAAUUUGUUGAAUGAAUAAUAAAGUUCUUAUAUUAGUUUACUGUAUAAAUAAUAUCAAAUCGUGGUUCACUCUCUGACACGACAAAGCUUUUGAGGUUGAAUUCAUAACUAAAUUGUGAAAAUAAGCAAAUCGUACCGUGAAUUAGUCCAGUAAGAUGCAACCAAUCCUCAUUGGGAUAGUCCUUCCGAAUAGCUUCUGCAGUUUGCAACAGGUGCUCAAUCUGCGGCUCGUCAAGAUCAGGAUCACUUUCGUCGACAAACUCGUUAAGCAGUUCAAUGCUUUCCCAGAUGCUCAUUUCCACCCUGUUUAACUUGCCAUAUUUCUCCUCCCUCAUCUUCUUGACCUACACAAUAGGAUUCAUUUAAGUCUAUCAAAAUCUAAAAAGGACAAAGUAAAAAAAAAAAAAAAGAAGGCCAAUUUAUAGAUUUUAAUUUUGAAAUUACAUAGACAUCCUGAAAAAUGCCAGUUUUCCGACAUAGAAAUGAAAGAUAUUUUAAAUAUUUGCUGGGUAAAAUGAUACAUCAAACGAAAACUACAACACAAAAAUCAAGUAAACAUUGGGUAUAAUUCGAUUGCACGUACAAAAUCAUAGGUUUGGUUGAUGUGAUUGACACGAUAGAACUCUUCCACGGUCUUCUUCCUCUCAGAUUCAGCAUCAUAGUUCCUAAAAUAUAUAUUAGUGUUCUCUGCAUUUAGUGUUUUUUUUCCUUGGGAAAUGUUCACAAAAAACUAUAGUCGGCAAUCAAAGAUUCAAAGCGCCGAAUUCUCCAAACAAAGUUUUUAUUUACUUAUAUACCUAAAAGUCUUGCCAAAAGCGUUCGAAUCCGGCACAACGAAUCCGCCAUCCAACAGCAACUCCUUCGGGUCAGAUGGGUUCUCACCCUUCUCCUCUACUGCUAUUUCUGGAACAAAAACCAUCAUUUAUAUCAAGAAAGAUCCCCCAAAUAAAAAAUUGUUAGCAUACCAAUGCAGAAUUGGUAUAAAAUAUCGGGAAAAAAUGUAUAUAGUAUCUUCGACAAGACAUGCGCGUAAAUAAAUAAGGUUUAUAAAUGUCACGCCCCGCGACCAACCGUCAAUUUGGAUCGGAUCGCGGCGCCAACGACAGACCGUCGAACGGACCGGGAUUUUUCCUGUACGCGGACAGAGUCUCCCCUAUACGUUCUAGGCGUCGCAAUCCAAACAAUGUACAUUAUAAGGGUUCCAACUAGGAACAGAUAUCAAUCAUAGAUUGCAAAUGGAAAGGUAUCAACAACAUAACAAUAAGAGUAGGUGCAGAUACCGACUCUGUAAAAUUUCAGUACAAUUUUUGCACAGAAUAUAGAAGAAACAGGUCAAAAAGGAAUAUUCCUUUAUAAGCCAACUGAUGAGCAUGUAAUUAAUAAGCUCAGAAUCUCAGAAGAAUAUAUAUGUAAAUAGAUAAUUUUUCCCAAACAAAGGGGGAAAAGGAAAAUGAUGGAAACACAAUGGAGGAGCCAUGAACAUUAGCUUACCCAGUUGAGGUUCCUCAAUUGUGAUCGUCAUCUCGACGUGUUUCUCCUCAAAAACUUUUUCAAGUAUAAACCCAAUAGGUGAAAAUAAAGAACAAUGCUCUAUCUCUCUCUCUCUCUCCUUUUGCAAGGGAAAAGGGUGGAGGGGAGGGGGUAUUUAUAUGAGGUGGAGCGGAGGGAUCCAGUACAAUACGCGUGGUCAAUGGUACAUCAUUAUUAUAAUAAGAAACCGAUUAAUUGGGUCCAAAUUAAGUGUACCUUCCCAAUCUUCUCCUAUUUUUUUUGUUAAAAAAAAUAGUAACCUAUCUGUCCAAUUCAUUUUUUUAAUAAAAUAAUUAAGUUUUAAAUUUGAGAAUAAAUACGACUAUUCAAAUUCCACCCACUUUAACUAUUAUUGUCCAAUAGAAUUCUUUUUUUUUUUCUAGUCAAAAACUAAGGUCAAUAUAUGCAAAAAUUUUGAAAAUAAAGUGUCCAAAUUGAAUGCAAAAGAAUCAAACUGCUAUAAGGGGGUAGUACACGGACCAUUUCUUAUAUUGUUACAUUGAAUAAAAUAGCGUGAUAUUUUGGGGUGUAAAUGCGGUACGCGUAGCGGGGACUUAAAAUAGAAGCUGGGGUAAAGCUGGAUUCGCGGAGGGAUAAUAAGAUGAAUAAUAAUUGCGGUAAUUAAAAAAAGGAGUAUGCUGACUCAGCGGUGGCGUGGAGGCCCCGUCGCGGAUAAGGACGUGUUGUGGGCCCCCUGGGUGACGUGGAUCCUAGUCAACUACGCCGAGGUGGACGCCGAGGAAUCGGGGAAGCGUUCUUUUCUCUGUAAUGACUAAAAAUAGCGAAUAAAACACGUGGUUAGUGAGCUUUGCUGUGGGAGCGUCGGUGAAAUACUAUGGAAACUAAUCAACUAGCUAAUUAAAAUUUGUCCAGUAAAAAAUAUAUUAUAUAUUUUUUAAAUUUUUUUUUCCAACUCUAUAUCGUUUUCUCUUAUUUAAAUAAGCUUUCACCGUCGAGUGAUUUCUCUUAAAAAAAAUAUAAUAAAAGAACAGAGUUGGUGAGCUAUAGUUAGUCAUAAUUAUUUUUCUAAAACAAUAUUUUUUUAUAAAUAAAAAGAAUAAAUUCUUUACCACUUGCACUGAAAAAUAUCGGUGAUAAUUAUUAUUUCUAUUGAAAUUUUGUUUGGGAAGAGAUGAGUGCCCCGAUUUUUCAGAAUUUGGUCGAAACUUUUGCGAUCUAAGUGGAUUCCAAUUCGAGGUACAGGGUUAUCGGUAUUAAAUACUACGCAUUCGAUGAAUAAAGGUUUUCUUAACGGGCACAAUAUUCAACCCUUGAGAUGAAUUUGGAGUAGCGGUAGUUUUUUCUAUUUAUACUGAAGAUAAAGUAGUUUAGUUUCAUUUUUCACUUACAGUCAUGAGUAAAAAUAAUUUUAGCAGCUUUAACUGUACGUAGUAGUCGAAAUCUCAGUAAUUACACACUCUCCUAACAUUUCAAUCAUCUCCGUUUGGUUGGGGUUAAGGGGUGGAAUAACCCCUUAACCCCUAUUUUAUUUCCCAACAUUUUUAAAAAUGGGUGGGGUUAGCUAACCGUACCUCAAAUGGGUUAUUCCGGAUUAGCUAAUCCCACCUAACCCCACCAAACUCCAACCAAAUAUUAUUUUCUAUUCAUAAUAAUCUACUAUUCUUCUUGUCCCACAUAUUCCAACCAAAUAUUAUUUUUCACUAUCCUGAACUAACUCCAAUCUCCAACCAAAUACAAAAAUACUCUAACCACACCUUAACUCUAAACUUAAUCCUAUCACUGGAAUAACUAGUUUUUCCUUAACUCCGAACCAAACGGUAGCUCCAGAAUCAACCGAAUAUAAUCGAUCUAAGUUCGGUCCGAGUUUAGCAACCAAAUGUAUCGUGCUUCAAUCGAGACUAAGUCACAUCAAAGAAUCCAAGCCGAAAAUUUUGAGAAUCCAAAUAUAAUAAUUCUUUACUUGGAUCAAUUCCUUUCUUUUUUCUUUUUUCUUUUUUUUUUGUUAGUUUUCCCAAAAAGUUAAUUAACAUUGGUUGGCUCAAUUUGGGAUUGUAAGUAAAUGAUACUACAUGCUGUUAGAAAGAGUAAAACUAUAUCGCUUAUUUUUUUAAAUAAUAUUACAUUUGUGCGUGGCGCAAUAAAUCAGUUAAAAUACAUCUUUAACCUCUAUUUUUAUGUGAGGCGUAUUCGAAAUCCAAAAAGUUUCUUAUUUGCUAUCGUGUUUAUUGUAUAUUUUUAAAAUACAAUAUUAAAAUAUUCCAUAAAAUGCAGUGUAAGAGUGGACAAUAAAUUACUUGUAAUUUAUUCGUCUAAAAUAUUUAUUUAAUAAUAAAAUAAUUUCAACAAUUUGUUGCUUUUAAAAGUUGUUUAAAUAAGUUCUCAUUUAUCAUUUAGUCAAAUACAUUGUAAACUAACUAAAUAUAACAAUAAAUACAAUUCUUUUCUCCAACCAAUGCACUCAAAUUAUAAAAAAAUAAUUUUUAGAAAAUAAAAAAUAAUAAUGGUACCAAAAGAGCUCUUAAACAUAUUAUUUUUAUUCACAUACAUAAUAUUGGCUCGGGAAUACACUUUGGGAUACCUUUAUAAUAUUUGUAGCAUCUAUGUCUAUAUAAAUAUAAAUAUAUGAAUUCAUAGUUGCAAAAUGCCAUGUGCCAUGUUGGGAAUCUUGAGAUGCUCCUCUGAUUGGAUUUUUUUUUUUUUUAAUCCAAUCUAAUAUUUUCUCUCAUUAUAAAAAUUUUAAAAAUAUAUAUUUUUUAUACAUAACUUUUUAGUUUAAAUUACAUGUAUAAAAUAUACAUUUUAAUUCUAUAAUAUUGAAUUUUUAAAAAUUCAAUUAAAAUUAUCUCUCAUUAUAAAAAAUUAAAAUAUAUAAAUUUUUAUAUUUAGCUUUUUAAAUAGUUUAAAUUGCAUGUAUAAAAUAUACAUUUUAAUUGUACAAUAUUGAUUUUUAAAAAAUUCAAUCUAAUAUUAUCUCUCAUUAUAAAAAUUUAAAAUAUAUAAAUUUUUAUAUAUAGCUUUUUAAAUAGUUUAAAUUGCGUGUAUUAAAUAUAAAUUUUAAUUUUAUAAUACUUGAUUGUAUAAUAAAAAAUAAGAGAAAAUUUUAUGGAAUUUAAGUUAAGUGUUAUAAUUACUUAUUUUAAUAAAUUUAGUUGCAGGAAUUAUAUGAAGUAUGUUUAUUAUAUCUGUAAAGAUAUACGAUAUAUUCAAUUUUUUUAAUCAAUAUAAUAUUGAAUAACUCAAAUUUAAAAAGGUUGGACAGUAAAAAUAAAAUUUUGAAAGGUUGAUAACUGAUUCAAAUCAUUCAUAAUUCAGAAAGUUCUAAAUGUUUUUUGCUUUAAUUUUAAUAUCAUUAAUGUAAUAUUUAUAGUUUGAUAAGUGAUAAAUUUUGAAUUUAAAGUUUUCUAAAAUAUCAAAAAUAUGAUUGCCAACUUUAAAUUUUAACAAUUACGUAUUCUAAAAUUUAUUAAAUAAUUUAACAGGUUCUUGCCGAUAAUGAACUUACUAAUUGAAUAAUAUCGAUCAAUGCUCAACUCUGUAUUCGUCGGACAUAAAAAUAAAACAAAACAAUAUAAAUUAUAUUUUUGGUCCUCAAUCGAUAAGACGCUUUAGUCCUCAAACUUUAAUGCACUACAAAUUCUGGCUUAAACUAUAAAGCACGUGACACUUUAGUCCUCAAACUUUAAUUAGUCGAAAUUUUAACUCGAACUAUGAGGCAUAUGAUAUUUUAGUUUUCAACUUUUAUUGCUGCUAUAAAUAUAAUUUAUGAUUUUUAUAGUUUUAUUCUUUUUUUUUUAUCUUUCUUAUAUUUUUACUGCAGCAGCUGCUGCUUACUCUUCAAUUUUUUUAUUGUUAUUCUUUUUUUAUUUUUUUGACUCUUUAUUAUUUUAUUUUUUUUAUUUUUUAAUUCCAUCUAUAUAUUUGUUCCUACAAAAUCAACCCAUUGCAAUAUGCGGGUGCUUUCACUAGUAACACAUGAUCAUAAAGGUUACGGGCUAAUUUGGUCAUUUUAUUCAAAACGUUAUUUGUGAAAAGGCAUGCAAUAAUGUAGUGGGUAGGUAGUGUUGGUAGCUUAAAAGGCUUAUGCGCGAGCCUCUCAAACGACAAGAUAUAAGACAAAGUACAUAUAACUCUUUAAAUAUAAGUUUUAUAUUUAAAUUUAUACGGAGCUAAGUGAUAAUGACAAGUUGCACUCAGUGACAUUAACAGAUUCCAAGCUAAUAUGAAAAUAAUUCGAUAUCCUAAUUACUAUUGCAUUAUUUACUGUGAUAUAAAAUUUUAAUUACCGCCACGUCACUGCCAUGUCACCUAAUUUGAAGUGAGAAACAACAUAAAUUAGUAUUGUUAGCUUAUAGUAGUUAUAUACAUUACAUUUUCACUUGAGCUAGUUAGAUUCAAAGAAUAUUCCAAAAAUAUAUGACACACGUUAUUUUGUUGUAUUGGUAUCUCUAAAACCUUUCUUAUUUCUCCAAAAUGGCAUAGUUGUUGAAGUGUUCUCCUACAAAUAUAAAUACCCCACUUGCAUUAAAUUAAUGAAAAGAGGAUAGAGCAAUUUUAUACUUACAAUCCAAUAAUUCUAAGGGCGUGUUUGGUUAAAAAAAAUUUUAACUUGAGAUCGGAAUCUUAAUAGAUGGUUUUGAUUGUUACUGCUCGACAACGAGAGAGUCUCAUUUUGAUUACGAUUCUCAAAAAAAAAAAAAAUGGAGAUCGCCUAGUCACCCCAUGUUGCUAAUUUUGAAUUGAAAAAUGAAUCCGGAGAAAACGUAAAUAGUUUCUAAAACUACUCUCUUGGGUUGCAAUUUAAGUGUACAAAUGCUAUUAAUAUUUUAAAUCUUUAAUUUGAAAUAAACUUUUUAUUUUUAAUUUUAAAUUUAAUCAUGCAUUUUUAAAUUGUGAACAUUGGAUUAUGAAAUUUAAAUUUGAAUUCAACCUAAUUUAAACUUUAAGCUCAAGUCAUAUGUUGGUGAAAACUCAAAAUUUUGAGUUUGAAUUUAUUUUAUUUGCACUUUGAUGUUUUAUUAUUUAUUAUUUUAUUUAUUUAUUACUUUAAUUAUUUUAUUUUAUUUAAUUAUUUUAUUAUCUUUCUUAAUGAGAAAGAUACUAACGGAAUUUUUUCCGUUCCGUUUCUUUCGCGUUACGUUGGGCGGGUUCCGCUUCUUUCUCGUAAGAGAAAAAACGUAAAAUCCUCUUUCCUUUUUAAGUCUUUUUCCUUUUCUUCUUGCUCAAGAUAGAGCAGGCACAAAAGAUUUUUGAUCAUUGGUUAAUCUCUAUCCAUUUAUUCUUUUAUCUUUUAUUUUUGAACAUUCCCCUUAUCCACUGGGUGUUGAGAAUCUUCGUCAACCUCCUUCACGAUCGUGCUCGCAGGAGGAGGAAUUCCGGUCGUACCUUGGGGUGUUAUUUCCGGUUAAUCCCGCACGUAAGGACGGAAAUACGCCUUAGGGCAAUACCUCGCACGCUUCCGGAUAAGAUCAAAUCAUUAUUUGGAUAUUUGCGUUUAUCUGUAAGUUUGAUUUUAUUCUUAUUACAAAAUUAGUUAGAUAUUAAUCACAAUCAGAUUUUCGUUGUGGUAUUUGUUCUAACAUCAUAUACUCGAUUUCAAGUUAAAUUUUUAAUUAAAUUAUAACUUAAAUUGUGUACUCAAAUUAUUAAAUUCAAAAAUAAAGUUUUAGUUUAGUGAUGCUGUAAUUUAAAUUUGUUUACUAAUUUUGUAAUUUUGAAUUUUGUUUUCAAUAUAAAUCUGAAUUAUAUUUUAUUUUAUUUUUGUUUUUCAAGUAGAGUUGUGGAUUGCAAUUUAAAUUCAAAAUUGAAUUCAAAGUAAAAUAAAUUAGUUCUGUGUUAUAAUUUACCAAAUCAAUUUUACAUUUCAAACUAAGGAAAUUUUAAUUUUAAUUUUUUUAGUUCAAUUUUGAAUCCAAAUUGUAAAUUUAAUUGUAUACUUUAAAUAAUAAACUCCAGUUUAAAUUCAAUUUUAUAUUUUGCAAUUUGAAAUAUAAAUUUUAAAUUUUUUUAAAUUAAACCUAAAUUUUCUCUUUCCAAAUGGAACUAUGGAAAUGGGAAUCAACCAUUUCGGUUCCGAUCAAUUUCCAAACCAAACCGACGAGAAGAUUUUGUCAUUCUAUUUAUAAUUUCAGUCUAUUUCAAUAUCGAUUCUGAUCCUGAUUUCUAUCUUCAAUCAAAUGUGCAUUAAAAGCUCACAAAACAAAACAAAACAAAGCAAAAAUAAUCUCAUUUUGAGGCAGAUUCGCGUGCGAUUUUUUUUGACAAAAACUAAACCUUAUUUACAGCUUGAAUUACAGUAAUUGAGUUUAGAUACAACAGUUCAAAUAAAAGUUUUAGAAUUCCGCACAAAUAAGCAAUUAAAUGAAAAAAAAAAAAACUAAUAGUUGAAAAAUGGGAGACCCACGAACUAAAAAGGAUAGUUUAACAAAACAAUGAGAGAUGAAUUAGAUAAGAAAGUGUGAAUUUUAUUCGUAGUCUGUGGACGUAUAUAUAGCAUUGCUCUUAUAUAAACCGAUUUGUAAAUAAUAAUACAUAUUAAGAUAUAAUACACAAAUUAAGUCAGACUCGAAUCUCGAUGACGGACCUCUUUGGAGGAUGCUUUACAUUUCUCAAGUCCUAAAAAAGAUUAGGACUAAUAUGCAAUAGAACCAUACUUCUAUAUGGGUGAUCAAUUAUCUAAUUAUAGGUAGGGAUGUCGACGGGUCGGGUUUUGGUCGGAUUUUUAAAAAUUCGAACCCGAACCCGAAAACCAAAUUAAAAUCUGUAUCCGGACCUGAACUCGGCGGGCUUAAAAAAUCCAUACCCAUAUGCGUAUCUGACCAAAAACCUGAAAUCCAAACCCGGAUCCGACGGGUUUUAAAAAUCCAUACCGUUGAAUGAAAAUCUAAGAGAUAAAAAUUAUUAAAUAUUUUAUAUAUUAUAUAAAUAUAUAAAAAUAAAGUAUGUAUAUAUAUAGAGUCUUGCUACUAUGCUAUUAAUAGCACGAAACACUUGGUGCUACCAAGUUUUCCGCCGUUAGAUCUACUCUUUUGAUCAUUUUCACUCGUUAGAUUAUACCUAUUCAACACCACACUCAACCCUAGAAAGGCCCACAUAUCCUAACCACACAUCUCUUAAUCCGAAUGUGCCAAAAAACUGUACACCAAUAUUUGGUGCUAUUAAUAGUAUAGUACCUAGUGACUUUGUGCUUAUUAAUAUAAUACGUAGCCUAAGUUCUAUAUAUAUAUAUUAAUAUAUAUAUAUAUAUAUAAUAUAUAUUAUAUAUAUAUAUAUAUAUAUAUAUAUAUAUAAUAUUAUUAUAUUUAUAUAAUUUUAUUUGCUGGUUCGGAUUCGGGUUCGGGUGGGGUAAAUACAAAAUCCAUACCCGAAUCCUUAUCCGUCGGAUAAUUAUUUUCUAUAUACAUAACCGAAUCCAUACCCGUUUAGCUCGGGUAAACUCGCUCUGUUCAGAUUUGGGUUUGGAUAAUAUUUCGAAUAUUCAUACCCAUCGACAUCCCUAAUUAUUGGUGAAAAAAGAAAUUAAUUGAUUAUGAUAUAAUAGGUGGUUGUUGCACCGACAGCUUAGCUUGGGCAUGGGCCUGAAACCUUCCACAUAAAAUAAAAGGAUAAAAAAUAAAAUAAAACACGUGAUACGCGCGCGGAGUCGCGGACAAGUGAAAAUAAGUUAAGUGCGACAUUUUUGUUUUUAUUUUUUAUUUUUCGUACGAACAAGCUUUAGAACAUCACAUUAGACAUGUGGUAAUUGUUGCUAUACAACAUUAAAUCGUUUAGCUAAAUUUUUUAAAUAUAUUAAUUUAGCUAUAAAAUAUUUUGAAAGGAUCAAUCAUAAUGAACUGUACUGCAGCUAUAUAAUAAACCAUUUGAGUCAUCUGAGAUGAAAGUAAUUUCACAAUAUGAUAUUUUACAGCUAAAAUAAUGUUAAAUUUUUUAAGAAUAUAUUGUUACAUAUGUUUUUAUAUAGAUAAAAUUAGUUGACUAAAAUUACUUUUUUGUUGUAAAAGUAUUUGUUAAAGAAAAACUGGUUGACGAGGGCGGAGAUUUCUAACGUGCUUUAAUUGUCGCAUAAAGAAGGAAGGAACAAAUUUACGAUUCAAAUCUCAUUUUCUCCUGGCGACUAUUACAUGAAAGUAUCAUGCGUAGAUACCUAAUCAAUUCCUCAUAUAAAGUGUUUCUACACAAAUCUCAUAAGAUCCCCUUGGAGCAUUACUAAACUUGAUCGCCAAACUAAUCAUUUUAUAAUCUAAUUCAGCUACCAGAUAAAAAUACUGACUUAUCUAUAUUAUUUUGAAAAGAUUUUUCAGAUGAUACUGUUGUGUGUAAUGCAUCUAGUGGGUCUUGGCCCUGGGGACCAAUUGAAUUAUUGGUUGUCCCAUUUAUAUGCAAACAAUUAUUUUCGGACAAGUAGGUACUAUUAAACAAAUAUUUUCGAACAAGUAGGUACUAUUAAAUUUAGAACAUUCAAAGCAGUGACUAUUUUCGGGACCGAAAAAGACACGAAUAAUUACCCUGUGUGGCUCCUUAUGAAAUAACUUAUCUACUUAUUAGAGCAACACAUAUAAACGCCAAAUAAAAAUAUAUAUAAGAGAUCUAACUUAUGCUGUGGCAAUAAGUUGAAACAAGUCCCUAUCGCGAAACCCUAGCCAUAAACUCUGAAUAAUAGUGAAAACCAACUCAUGCGGUGACAGCUUAACUGAUAGAGUACGGUUCGACCAAACGGUGCAGAUGAAAAAGUAGUAAAGCAUUCUAUUUCAUUUAUGUUGAGAUCAUGACUUUUCUCCAAAGUUUGUGUCAUUAAACUUAUUUGAUCUGGAUCUUCAAUUAACUUUUGUUAGUGUGCUCUUCACCUGCAUUGCUCUGUAGAUUAUGAGCCAAGAUUGUGUCGAAACAAAUCAACAAGUUCACAUUGCUCAGUAAUGUUUUCAAAUCGCAAUACAUUCAACUUGCUUGGCAAUGUUAGUGCUUCGAAUAAAGGUAACUUCUGAAUUUUUCAUAAGAAAACAAAAAUAACAUUAAAAAAACUACUAGGAGUCAUGGUUAUUUAUCAACCACUCGCUUAGUUAGCGCUUCUCGGACAAGAAAAAUUAUUUCGUAAAGUGGAAUUUAGGCAAACCAACUAAACAAACACCUUAGAUAUUACCAUUGAAAGGAAUGCACAUUGAAUCAGAUCAUUAGUCAGUGACCUAAUGUGAUCCAAUUGUUUGUACACAUGGUGGACCUUUUCCUAAUUUAAUCCUCCAAAAAAGAAAAAAACAAAGAUGUAAUUUUCUCAGUAUUUUAUUUGGAAACUAAGCCUCCACGUAGGCAUAUUGCCAAAAUGUUGGGAGCUAGACGUUACAUUGAUGGUGAUAGCGAAUGUUCUUAUAUCUAAGAGGGGUUAUGCAGAUUAAUAUAUAACUAGUGUAGUUGUCCGUGCGAUGUGACGGGUAUGUAUUAGACUUUUAAUUCAAUCCAACUCAUCUUAAAUAGAAACUAUCAAAUAAUUUUAAAAAAUACUGUAAAAUAGGUUAAAAAUAUAUUAAAAAAAUAGAAAAUAAUAAGAGAGAGAAAAUAAAGAAAAGAUAGAGAAACUUUCACUUAAUAUUGGUCUCUAAGAGGGUGAGGCUUGCCAUUGCUUUUACUGCCGCCUCGAUCUCCACUGUCAUUGCCCACGCUUUCUUCCGUAGCCGUCUUAGUCUCCAGUACCAUCACAUUUACCACCUCCGCCAUCGCUAUGACCCGAAGCAUCGCCCACGUCUCAGGCUAAAUGAGAAGAAGAUAAUACAUCAAAAUUAGAAAUUAAAAAAAAAAGUAAAUAGAUCCCACACCUCUUGCUAAAUGAAGGAGGUUGUAAUUUAUUAUAAGAAACAAAAUAGAUUUUUAUUUUCAUGACAUGCAUAGGAGAGAAUGAGGCUUUUGCGUGAGUUUUUAUGAUUUACGAUUAUAUUAGGGUUAAAAUGAAUAGAUACAUUAAUUAGACGUUAUAUGCGGAGGGAAGACAAAGGGUUGGGCCUUUUGGAUGGGAUUCUAGAUUUACGGUUUAGAUAGGAUUAAAUUAGGCGUAUAUGUGGAGGGAAGACGAAGGAUUGGUUUCAUAAGAUAAAAGUCCAAGAGUAAAGAAUUUGAUAUUUAAUGUCACUAAGGAUUGUUAAUUUGAUAUUUAGACAGAGGAAUUGGUUUUAUUUAUUUAUUUAUUUAUUUAUGGGGAUGAAGGGAUGAAGGAUGACUUGUCACGUGGCAAGAAAUAUUGUGCUUUCAUUUAGAUUUAUAGAUUAUAGAUUUAUAGAUUUAUUACGUUACGGUUUAAUUUGUUUGUAUACGAAAUGAUCAUAUUAAUAAGUUUAGUUUAGUUUUAA